rnacentral:rRNA from 1 species
AUUGAACGCUGGCGGCAGGCCUAACACAUGCAAGUCGAGCGGUGCGGCGGACGGGCGAGUAAUGCCUAGGUAUCUGCCUGGUUGUGGGGGAUAACGUCCGGACACGGGAGCUAAUAUCGCAUACUAUCAGAUGAGCCUAGGUUGGAUUAGCUAGUUGGUGGGGUAAUGGCUUACCAAGGCGACGAUCCGUAACUGGGCUGAGAGGAUGAUCAGUCACACUGGAACUGAGACACGGUCCAGACUCCUACGGGAGGCAGCAGUGGGGAAUAUUGGACAAUGGGCGAAAGCCUGAUGCAGCCAUGCCGCGUGUGUGAAGAAGGUCUUCGGAUUGUAAAGCACUUUAAGUUGGGAGGCGUUACCAACAGAAUAAGCACCGGCUAACUUCGUGCCAGCAGCCGCGGUAAUUC